AAACCAAGGAAUUUAGUCAUUUUUUUCGGUAAAAAGACAGUUAGGCAGAAAGUAAAACCAUCAGACCUUUGGUAGAGAGGUAAAAUUUAAAUACCAAAAGUUAUAUAAAGUAUGGUUUAUUUUAGACGCUGAAUCUGUGACGACUUUAAGGGAAACUGGGAUUGGAUACCCCAUUAUUUUUAGUAGUAAAUUUAAUUUAAGUUUACCAGAGUACUACGAAUAAAAAAUUUAAAACUCAAAGAGCUUGGCGGUGUUUUAGACCUCUCAGGGGAACCUGUCUCAUAAUCGACAAUCCACGUUAAACCUGACCCUCUAUGGCAAUUCAGCCUGUAUACCGUUGUCGUCAGGUAACUUCUUAAAACAUAGUAGUUAGCUCGAGAAUAUUAUUAAUUAGUACGUCAAAUCAAGGUGCAGCUAAUAAGGGGGAGAGGAUGGGUUACAAUUAUAUAUUUAUAAUUACGAAAAACAUCUUAAAUAAAAUGUUGGAAGGAGGACUUGAAAGUAAUUUUGAUUAUAUAAGCAAAAUGAAUAAGGCUCUGAAACGUG
rnacentral:rRNA from 1 species